GUGCAGCAGUCGAGAAUUUUCUCAAUGGGGGAAACCCUGAAGGAGCGACGCCGCGUGGAGGAUGAAGGUCUUCGGGUUGUAAACUCCUGUCAUUUGGGAACAAGUUGCACACGUUAACUGCGUGGGCAUUGAUAGUACCAGAAGAGGAAGAGACGGCUAACUCUGUGCCAGCAGCCGCGGUAAUACAGAGGUCUCAAGCGUUGUUCGGAUUCAUUGGGCGUAAAGGGUGCGUAGGUGGCGCCGUAAGUCAGGUGUGAAAUUUCGGAGCUUAACUCCGAAACUGCAUUUGAUACUGCGGUGCUUGAGGACUGGAGAGGAGGACUGGAAUUUACGGUGUAGCAGUGAAAUGCGUAGAGAUCGUAAGGAAGACCAGUGGCGAAGGCGGGUCUCUGGACAGUUCCUGACACUGAGGCACGAAGGCCAGGGGAGCAAACGGGAUUAGAUACCCGCGUAGU
rnacentral:rRNA from 1 species